GCUAGGCAUAGUGGUGCAUGCCUGUAAUCCCAGCAGCUCUGGAGGCUGAGACAGGAGGAUCAUGAGUUCAAAGCCAGCCUCAGCAAAGGUGAGGCGCUAAGCAACUCAGUGAGACCCUGUCUCUA
rnacentral:sRNA from 1 species